rnacentral:piRNA from 1 species
UCUAAUGUGCUCUGAAUGGCUAUCGCCUGA